GAGGAUUGCAACACUUACACAUGACGACGAUGAUGUUGAAGACAGCGAUGAAGAGGACAAAAAGACUGGACACAGAUCUCUUGGGAAGAAGAAGACAGCAGUUCGAAAAGAACAUAGUGAAGUUGAAUUGGAAACUAAAAAAAGGAAGAGACCCGGACUCCAAAGGAAAGAGCAGCAAUUGAUCGACACCUUUCAAAAUUUGUAGCAUUAAAGAAAGUUCCAAGGAAAGAUGACU